rnacentral:lncRNA from 10 species
GGCAGGGCAGAGUUGGAGGGCAUGAGAUUUCAUUAUACUACAACACAGUAACGCACAAUUUAAAACUUGUGAAUUAUUUCUGGAAUUUUCCAUUUAGUAUUUUCUGACUCCAGUUGAUGGCAGGCUGUACAAGAAGUGUGGUGCUGACAUCUGCUCCUCGGCUUCUGGUGUGGCCUUCGGCUGCUUCCAUUCAUGGCAGAAGGCACAGGGAAGCCUCAUGUGCAGAGAUCACAUGGUGAGAGAGGAAGCAAGAGAGCAAGUUGGAGCCGGGCGUGGUG